AACGAACACUGGCGGCAUGCCUAACACAUGCAAGUCGAACGAGACCUUCGGGUCUAGUGGCGCACGGGUGCGUAACGCGUGGGAAUCUGCCCUUGGGUUCGGAAUAACAGUUAGAAAUGACUGCUAAUACCGGAUAAUGUCUUCGGACCAAAGAUUUAUCGCCCAGGGAUGAGCCCGCGUAGGAUUAGCUAGUUGGUGAGGUAAAGGCUCACCAAGGCGACGAUCCUUAGCUGGUCUGAGAGGAUGAUCAGCCACACUGGGACUGAGACACGGCCCAGACUCCUACGGGAGGCAGCAGGUGGGGAAUAUUGGACAAUGGGCGAAAGCCUGAUCCAGCAAUGCCGCGUGAGUGAUGAAGGCCUUAGGGUUGUAAAGCUCUUUUACCGGGAUGAUAAUGACA
rnacentral:rRNA from 1 species